rnacentral:lncRNA from 1 species
UUUUGCAGUACGUCUGAUUCCGUAGUAAGAAUGCCAUGUGCUCCAAAAGAGGCGGUGGCGUCAUAUGCGAGGUCGAGAUAGUUGUUGGCGUAGAGGAUGAUAGUGGAAGCAAAGUUAGGAAAUAAACUGAAAAUAAAAGUAAAAAGUUAGGGCUGACGAUUUAAAGGCUAAAGAUCUUAUUAUAAAUAAGAAAAACUUUAAAUACCAUCCAUGUGGUUUCACAGUUUCUCACUUUAAUACCCUGUGGUUUAAAGUGUAUCAAUUUAGUGCCAUAUGGUUUCAUUUUUAUCUUUUUAUUAUCGAUUUUAUUAAUUUUUUUCAUUAAAUCUAUGACAAAGUUAAAACUAAAAUAUACUAAAGUGAAUAUUCGAUAAAUAUAGGUAGGAUAUCUGAAGUUUUUUGUAUAUAAUUUAACGAAGUAUUAAUGAAAAAACUGACGAAAAGAUAAAAAUAAAAUAACAUGAUACUAACUUGAUAUACUUAAAUUACAGAGUACUAAAGUAAAAAUAUGCGAAACCACGUGGGCGGUAUUUGAAGUUUAUAAAUAAAGAAUGAAAAGUUGGGAACAGAAAUGGAGCAUUUUAAGACUUG